AUCUAUGCACUUUGAUUGUGUUUCAUUAAAACACAAGUUUCCCAGCUACUCGCACUGUUUUGAGAAGAGGGUGAAACUUCAGGUGGAGCCUAGCUGGAAGAGGUGGAAUGGAAAUGCGGCUUUGAAGGUGCACUGAACGAGCUCAGUGGGCAGCACGGCUUUCUGUCGGCUGUCCUGCAUCUUCUCCAGCAGCAAAAGCAGUUGGAAGGGGACACUUCUCUUCUGCUCUUCUGCUCCCCGUGGCACCGUUAUCCUGCCGAUUAAGAACAGCCAGGCAGUUCAGACUCAUCAUUCUCCAGGCAGGAGCUG
rnacentral:lncRNA from 1 species